rnacentral:rRNA from 1 species
UACGUAGGGGGCAAGCGUUGUUCGGAAUUACUGGGCGUAAAGGGCGCGUAGGCGGCACGGCAAGUCGGGAGUGAAAGCCCGGGGCUCAACCCCGGAGGGUCUCUCGAGACUGCCGAGCUAGAGUGCGGAAGAGGCAACCGGAAUUCCCAGUGUAGCGGUGAAAUGCGUAGAUAUUGGGAAGAACACCGGAGGCGAAGGCGGGUUGCUGGGCCGACACUGACGCUGAGGCGCGAAAGCCAGGGGAGCAAACGGG